rnacentral:misc_RNA from 1 species
CUGGAAUCGCAAGAUCCCACAACCCUGUGAACCUACCGAAACGUUGCCUCGGCGGGUGCCCGGCCUCUGCGCCGGGCGCUGCGCCCGCCGGCGGCCCCCUACUCUGUCUCUGCAGCGUGGCAUCUCAGAGUCCCAGAAAACAAGUCA